rnacentral:lncRNA from 1 species
GAAAAGAAAAUUGCAAUGAAGAUGAUUGUGAUUGCAUUGAAAUGCAUACAAAUAAAACCAGAUGAUCGUCCCUCAAUAAAUGAAGUGAUAGAUAUGCUCGAAGGAGAUGAAGUUCCCCAACACCUUCGUCCUGAUCCUGAAUCUCUCUUAACCUGGCAAAAGAUGUCAGCAGAUGCAAAUGAAUUUGAUGACAGCUAACAUUCGUCAUCAGCAACAUAUGAAUACUGUCAAUAACAUAUCAAACGAUUUUAGAUUUUUAUAAAAUUUAACACGAAUGGUCUAUAUGAUAUAAACUUUCAAUCCAACGGUGAAUUUUGUAAAAGUUGUAUUCGUUAAAGCGUUAUAUUGAGCGGUGUAACAUUACUCAAAUGUUACACCGGUGUCAAUUGUACGAUGAGAUGGGAGGCAUAAAGAAAGUCUUUAAAAUUGUUCAUGAUGCAAGUUAUAAUAGUUUACAUUUUACAUGCUUGUUUCUACGUUGUAAUAGCUAAAUGAUGCAAGUUAUAAUUGUUCAUGCUUGUUUCUAUGUUGUAGUUAGAAUGUGAAGCAAGUUGCACAGAAGCAAGUUGCACAAUUUGACAACACGCAUAUCACGAGGCAUUGAGGCGUUAUCAAAGCCUUGUGUUGUGUGUAAUGAAUAAUUAUCUGCUUUGGUCCUCUGGCGAUCCUCCUAAUCCUGCAUGUUUCAUAUGUUAAGCAGUCUCUGAAUUAUGUGAAAACUGAAAACUCGUUUGUGGCAUAUGACUUCAAAUCCCGGCACAUUGAGACAAGAAAAGUUUCCUGAUGUUAUUAUAAGUUAUAAUGGUCAUCUGUGUGUAUGUGAAAAAUCCCUGAACAAUUGAAUAUGGGACUUCUCAUAGAAGCACAAAUGACAGUUAUAAUAUUAUUUUUUCUAAAAAAAUCCCUAAUGAAUCCAGAAUAUUUAUCUUGUGUAUAUAUAUUCAAGAUAAUUACUACACUUGAGGAAUAAUAUUUUUUAAUUGUGUCCAAACCUUAAAGGAUCAAAUAUGGGUGAUGGAAUUGGACCUGCAAGUGAGAAUGAUACCCAGCCAUUAGGCAUUAUUGGACUAUGCAUGUGGUUGGCUCGAAGUCAGCUGUGACAAAUAAUCUAGCGUGACUGACACGGAAUAUUGGAUGAUCAAUCUUCCCCUAAACCAAACUCAGAAAAUCAAUCAAAAUGGCUGUGUCGUGCGGGGGACUAAUCAUUCUCAUUGCUUUGGUAAUAUUGAUAUCAAUAAGUGUGUUUGGCCUACCUUGGACGUUCCUUGAACCAUGCCCCUUUGCAUUAGAACACCCCUGCGGAGUCAUAUUCAACGAAUCAUCUGGAGAGGGGUGUGUGAAUCCCAUUUUCGAAGUAAUAUGUGAAAACAACAAAUCAGUAAUGUACUUCAACUAUGGCCAACGUCAUGCCCGUGCCAUUAUAGCUUCUAAAUCAUCAUCCUCUUCAUUCCGUUACAUAAUGACCGGAGUUAUAGUCCUCAUAAUAACUGCCCUAUCAUCAAUUCCCUUUCGUACGAAAAUAUCUCCUUCUUUACCGAUCCUUUUGUUUCUGAAUAUAUAGUGAUUAUGAGAUGCGAAAAACCGGUAGAUGAUAGCAACUAUUGGGAUAUGUCUUCAAAGAGGUGUGGUGGUGGUGGUGGAAAUGAUGGUGAGGAAGAGCAAUAUUAUUCGUAUGUUGUUGUGAACUAUUUUUACCACAGAGACAAAGAUUUUGUUGUGAAAUACAUAGCAGAGUCUUGCAGAGUAGAGAUGAAGGUAAUGAUCAGUAGGUGGGAUGAAAAGGUGAAAUGUAAUAGCAGCAAGUGUGGCUAUCCAGAGGUUCACAGUGAGUAUCUCAACGGAAUUGAGCUUCGCUGGCGACCAUUGCGCUGUGAGGAAGCAAGUUACUGGUACGGGAAAAGGCAACGACAAUUGCCAGUCAUAUGCAUUCUCUUCGAUGCUGCACUCACCUGCCUUGCAAUCGGAGCCCGGAGUAAGUGUGUGUGUUUUAUUUUUGGUACAAUAGAGGGUCAGAGGCCUUGAGUAAGUGUGUGUUUAGUUCCGUGAGAAAAAAUGAUUUGAAGUAAAUUGAUUACGACUGAAAAAUUGCAUCAAAGUUAAAUUGAUUUAUGUUUAUAUACAUUAAUAUAAAAGUGAGUUAAAAUUCAAACGUAAAAGUCAAUUUUUAGAAUUAGAACCAACAAUGAGCACGAUUGUGUUUUNNNNNNNNNNNNNNNNNNNNNUUUUUGUAUUUUUUAAAAUGAUUUUUAUGAUAACUUAAUUAAAAAAUAAUCAACAUAUUCUAACUCUGAUGGUGAGACUUGAAGGUGACAAUACGUUUCUGGUACGGUGGAACAUGCUGGAAAACAUACUGCAGAACAUGUUAACACUUCAACGCUCAAGUCAGUAUGUGAUCAAGGAGAAGUGAAGUGAAAAGUGAUUGAAUUAUAUAUCUUGGUGUGCUCGUUUAUAUGGGUAAUACUCGACUUAACAUUCAUUAUAAAAAAUUCAUUACAGAUGGAAUCUGCACUUCAAUUUUAACAUAACUCAUUACUUGAGUUAUGUUAAGAAGCAAAACAAGAACACGGAGAUGAGGUUUUUUUAGCCAAAUAGCCAUGACUGAUCAUUCAUCAUGUCCAUCUAACAAAUCAGUAAAACUUAUUGGCCUAUUGCAGCUUACCACCGGCAUGAUUGAUUCACACUACUGUUUGAAAAAAGUUAUAAAUCUCAUCUGGAAAAAAAAUCUUUCACCAGUAAAUAAAUAUAACUCUCAUUACAAAUUUACUAUAUACAUUUACUAAUUUUUCAAUAUAUAUCCCUAAUUAAAACGGAAUAAUAUUUCUGUUUCUUAAAUAGUGUCCAAACCUUAAGGAUCAAAUAUGAGUGAUGGAAAGAGUAAGAGUUGACCUGCAAGUGAGAAUUGGACCCCACCCAUCAGGCAUUAUUGAACUCUGAAGUCAGCUGUGACUGAAAUCAAAUAAUCCAGCCGUGACUGACACGGAAGGUUGCAGCAAGGUCGAUCUUCUUCACCCAACCAAACCCAGAAAAUCAAUCAGAAUGGCUGUGUCGUGUGCGGGACUAAUCAUUUUAGCUGUCUCCACAUUAUUGCUAUUAAUUAUAAGUGACUCUAUCUUUUCUUGGCAGUUCCCUGAUCCUAGAUUCGAAGUAACAUGUGAAAACAACAAAUCCGUAAUUUACUUCAACUAUGGAAAACGUCAAAGCCAAGGCCAUUAUAGUUUCUAAUUCAUCCUCCUCUUCAUUCCGUUACAUAAUGACCGGAGUUAGUCCUCAUAAUAACUGCCCUGCCAUCAAUUCUUUUUCUCUUCCGUAUGAAAACAUCUCAUUCAUUACCGCUGAUGAUGAUCGGAAUUACAUGGUGGUUUUGAGAUGCGAGAAAGCUGUAGAUGACUAUGCCUAUUGGGACAUUUCUUUAGAAAAGUGUGGUGGCGAAGAAAAGCAGUAUUAUUCAUAUGUUGUUAUGAAUGAUUACUACGGAACAAAUUUUGUUGUGGAAAACAUAGAAGAGUCAUGCAGAAUAGAGAUGAAGUUAACGGUAAAAAAGUGGGAUGAAAAGGUGAAAUGCAAUAGGAAAUGCAGGUAUCCAAAGGAUGUUCACAGUGAGUAUGUCAACGGAAUUGAGGUUCGUUGGCGACCGUACUGUGGGCAGCAGAAGCAAGACAGAGAGAGUGAUCGAGAAGGGAAAAGGAAACAACGAUUGCCACUCCUCUGCAUUCUCUACCAAACAGCAUUCACCUGCAUUGAAAUGACACUCAUGCGUAAGUGUCAAUAUUUGCUAUGCUAUUUUUAUUCGUUUUUGCUUUCUUACUUGAGAGAAAAACCGCCCAAUAUGCUACUGAGAAUAUUGGGAUGCAUGUGAGGCACAACCGAAUAUGAAAGUACACAUAACACAGAAAACAUAACCUAAGACCACUAAUGCAAAGUACACACAUAUGCAAUGCUACAUAGACAUCAAUUAACUCCAGUAAAGAAUCCGACUAUUCCAAGUCAGUGCAAGUGUAUCAGUAUACAACCAAAAUGUCUUUGAUUUAUUAAUAUGAUAGUAUUGUAAUGUGGAUUAGAAUUAUCUGUUUAUUAAAAAUUUGAUUUAUUUGCACAGUGCUUCCAUGGAUUGUUGGAAAAUUUGUUCUUGGAUCACCCUUUGUGGUUCUGGUCUUGAUAUGUAAAUGGAGAAAAAAGCAUCAAUCCAUAUAUGACACAGUUGAAGAUUUUAUCCAAACUCACAACAAUUUCAUGCCCAUUAGAUACUCUUACUCCCAAAUCAAAACAAUGACUAAACGUUUCAAGAAUAAGUUGGGUGAAGGAGGCUAUGGUUCUGUCUAUGAAGGAGAGCUUCGAAGCAAACGCAAAGUAGCUGUUAAGGUAUUGACCAAGUCUCAAACCAAUGGACAAGACUUCAUCAACGAAGUUGCAACAAUUGGAAGAAUUCAUCAUGUCAAUGUGGUGCAGCUAAUUGGAUUUUGUGCCGAAAGAACAAAGCAAGCUCUGAUCUAUGAAUUUAUGCCAAAUGGUUCUCUUGACAAACACACAUUUUCACAAGAGCAAGGAAACUCAUCCUCAUUAAGCUACGAUAAGAUCUAUGACAUUUCUCUUGGAAUUGCUCGUGGAAUUCAAUACUUACAUCAAGGCUGUGAAAUGCAAAUCAUACAUUUUGACAUAAAACCUCAUAACAUUCUUCUUGAUGAGAAUUUCAACCCGAAGAUAUCCGAUUUUGGUUUGGCAAAGUUGUACCGAAUAGAUCAAAGCAUUUUGACUUUAACAGCAGCAAGAGGAACAAUGGGGUACAUGGCUCCUGAGUUGUUGUACAAGAACAUCGGAAACCUCUCACACAAAGCUGAUGUUUAUAGUUUUGGAAUGAUGUUAAUGGAAAUGGCAGGUAGAAAAAAGAACAUAAAUUAUAUAGAGAAUUAUUGGCAAGACUACUUUGCUAAAUGGAUUUAUGAUCAAUUUGAGGAAACAAUAGAUACAAACAAUGGCACAGAGGAGGAAAAGAAAAUUGCAAUGAAGAUGAUUGUGAUUGCGAUGAAAUGCAUACAAAUGAAACCAGAUGAUCGUCCCUCAAUGAAUGAAGUGAUAGAUAUGCUUGAAGGAGAUGAAGUGCCUCAACACCUUCCUCCUGAUCCUGAAUCUCUCUUAACAUGGCAAAGGAUGUCAGCUGAUGCAAAUGAAUCCGACAACAACUAGCCUUCAUCAUGAGCUACAUAUGGAGUGGAAGUGCAAUAAAUAAGCAUGAAAAUGAAAGAAACUAAUUCUAUUGUUUCCAGUUAUCACAGACUUAAAGGGUACACGAGUAUAUAAGUACUAGUUUUUUCUUCACUUUUAUUAACACGUGUUAAUCUGGAAAAUAUCACCUUUACAUACACUUACAACAUGCAUGUUAAGUACAAUGUAAACUAUUACAACUUGCACCAUGAACAAUCUUAAAAGACUUUCUCUAUAUCUCCCCUCUCAUCAUGCAAUUGAUCUCUCCUUCAUAUUCUGAAUACAACAAAGCAAGUUCCACAAUUUGACAACACGUGCGCAAAUAUAUCAAGGUCCAACGGAACUUUUCAAAGCCUUGAGAAAAUAGUGCGCCAUAUUCUUUUGAGAGACUCGUUUCAUAUCAAUCACCCAGAGAUCUGCUUUUAUUUUAAGUA